GGUUCCGUAGUGUUGUGGUUAUCACGUCUGCUUUACACGCAGAAGGUCCUGGGUUCGAGCCCCAGCGGAACCA
rnacentral:tRNA from 1 species